rnacentral:rRNA from 1 species
AGCGAACGCUGGCGGCAGGCUUAACACAUGCAAGUCGAGCGGGCAUAGCAAUAUGUCAGCGGCAGACGGGUGAGUAACGCGUGGGAACGUACCUUUUGGUUCGGAACAACACAGGGAAACUUGUGCUAAUACCGGAUAAGCCCUUACGGGGAAAGAUUUAUCGCCGAAAGAUCGACCCGCGUCUGAUUAGCUAGUUGGUGAGGUAAUGGCUCACCAAGGCGACGAUCAGUAGCUGGUCUGAGAGGAUGAUCAGCCACAUUGGGACUGAGACACGGCCCAAACUCCUACGGGAGGCAGCAGUGGGGAAUAUUGGACAAUGGGCGCAAGCCUGAUCCAGCCAUGCCGCGUGAGUGAUGAAGGCCCUAGGGUUGUAAAGCUCUUUUGUGCGGGAAGAUAAUGACGGUACCGCAAGGAUAAGCCCCGGCUAACUUCGUGCCAGCAGCCGCAGUAA